GGGGGUGUAGUUCAGUGGUAGAGUGCAUGCUUGACACGCACGAGGUCCUGCGUUCAAUCCCCAGUACUUCCG
rnacentral:tRNA from 1 species